UGUCCCUUCUUGGAGGGAAGAGGAAACUGGAAGACCUUCUGCUAUUGGGUGAAAGAGAUUGGAAGUUGCUGAGCGAUGCCUGACGCUGUGUUCUGAAUACAUUUACAGAUGAGGAAACAGUGAUGCAGAGAUAUUAAGUGACUUGCACCAGAGCACAGCUAGGAGAUGACAGAGCCGGAUUCCAAAGCAGGCAGCCUGAGCUCACGGACCACUCCAACUCCUCACUGUCUGGUAGAGAAGACGCCAGAUGGAAAUCACUUAUUUCCUAUUGACCCUCAAGUCCGUCACUCUGUGAGCACUUUCUCCUCUACUUGGGUCAUUCUGUUCGUGAUUUCUUCUCUUCCAAGCCCACUUAGGUAGUGACUAUGUACAGGCCCUUAAGAGCCAUCCUACUUGGUGUAUUAUGGAUGAGAAAAAGAAAGUUUCUUGUAUUGUGUUUAUUCUC
ensembl:lncRNA